CUGGAAGAGAUCCUGGCCACCAGCAGCAAAAUCCUACCUAUUGAUUGGCUAUUUAAACAGGGGCCUGUUGGCUCCAAAUAAACUGAAUACAGCAGCAGAAGGAGCUCAGUGUACAGUGAGCGUUGAGGCGAGGAAGCGAGAGAGAGCGAGAGAGAGGGAGGGAGGAAGAGAAUAUGUACUAUGGCAUCAGUAUGUAACUGCUGGAGCCAGAUAAUCCUGCUACCUAGCUCCCUCCGUGGACAACUUACUGUGCUGCGGUUUUCCUUCAUGAGAGGAUGCCAGCUGUAUGCUGGUGAAUCAGCUAAUAGGACUGGACCUUGGGAAUAGUUCAUUUGACUUAUAAUCUGUGUCUCUGAAAUAAAGGUUCAUUACUGACAAGCCUGGGGUCAGUAAGCCUCCUCAGAACUGAAGAUGUGUAUAGAAUAAGGAAACAAUCCCUUCUCAUCAGCUGCAUCCUAAUCUCACCAAAAACCACACUAAAGCUGCAAUGAAUAAGAAAUACUGAGCAUCUGAAAGAAGAAAAGGGAUUCAAGAAGAAGGCGUUUCGGAAUAGUAGAAGCUACUCUAAAAUUUACAGCAGCAUUCAAAAGUAUGCAUGUAAGUCUUCAAGAGACCCUGUGGCCUUAGCUUUUUG